UACGUAUGGUGCAAGCGUUAUCCGGAUUUACUGGGUGUAAAGGGAGCGCAGGCGGCACGGCAAGCCUGAUGUGAAAGCCCGCGGCCCAACCGCGGGACUGCAUUGGGAACUACCGGGCUGGAGUGCCGGAGAGGUAGGCGGAAUUCCUAGUGUAGCGGUGAAAUGCGUAGAUAUUAGGAGGAACACCAGUGGCGAAGGCGGCCUGCUGGACUGCAACUGACGUUGAGGCUCGAAGGCGUGGGGAGCAAACAGG
rnacentral:rRNA from 1 species